rnacentral:tRNA from 1 species
GCCUGGCUAGCUCAGUCGGUAGAGCAUGAGACUCUUAGGGUCGGGGGUUCGAGGCCCCCGUUGGGUG